rnacentral:pre_miRNA from 1 species
CAUGUACUCCCUCCGUCCAGAAAUACUUGUCGAAGAAAUGGAUAAAAAUUGAUGUAUCUAGAACUAAAAUACAUCUAGAUACAUCCAUUUCUCCGACAAGUAUUUCCGGACGGAGGGAGUAGUUC